rnacentral:rRNA from 1 species
AUGAAGAUCGGCCCGUAUGGCGGCCCAGGAGGUAAUCACUGGGACAUUAAUGCUCUCAAUCCGCCCAAAAGGCUUGUGAGCAUCCAGAUUUGGAGCACUGAUUCCUCCUGCGAAGGGGCCGGCGGGGUCAUCAACGGCAUCUCGUUCAGCUAUCUUGACAUGGCAGGGCAACUAAUCCCCUCGGGUCCAUGGGGCUCCCAGACCGGUAAACCCCACGUGGGCCCGCCCAAAACGUCGGUACUGGUCGAUUUCCCGGGUGCAAGAAUCCUCGAGCAGAAUAAAAAAAAAGGGAAGCGCGCCCACACCGAGCAACCUAUCUUCGUCAAUGCCUGGCAGGCUGGGGAGGCCACUAGCCGCAUUCUCAAGAAUACGAUGUGCACAAUGUUGUUCGGGUCAGAUCUCCACUGUCCACGAGAGCAAGCGUCGUCGACCAUCACUCUGAGAACCUCGCACGGGAACUUCCUCCUCCGCCCUCUGGCUGUCCAGUCGGUGGUGGCGGCAGUGACGGCGUACCAUAUGUGGUGGUGGGACGGAACAGCUUAA